CCAAACCGGAGACAGUGAAUAAGGUGUGUGACAUUGUGAGGAAACAGCUUGCACUGCCAGCUGACUCUGAGGUCACUGGAGAGUCAAAGUUUGCAACACUUGGAGCUGAUUCUCUGGAUACUGUAAGUAAUAUCCAUCCUUCGAACAUUUCUCCUUGUUUCCGUUCACUUCAUAUCUUAUUUUAGUUCAUUGCACACCUAUCUGUUGUUAUCACCACCAUCAUCAUCAUCAUCAUUUAUUUUCUUCAAAUUGUACUUCCCUUUUUUGGUUAGAGUCAUGAUGUGCAGAUCCAAGUUAAAGAAAACUUGUGAAGGCACUUGAGAUUUCUAAGAUAAACCAGAUUUCGGUUCAUUCUGCUCCAGAAAAUUAACUGAGACAUAAUCUUCAUUGUCUGGCAGCAUAUGCUUCCUUUCUCCCAAAGAAAGAAAGAAAGAAAGAAAUCCAGCAGCCAUCUGACUCUUUGACCAUGUUUGCUUGAUCAAUGUAACUAAGAGAGAUUUUCCUUUCUAUCCAUAUAGGUUGAGAUUGUGAUGGGCCUUGAAGAGGAAUUUGGGAUCAGUGUUGAAGAAGAAAGUGCCCAGGGUAUUGCCACUGUCCAAGAUGCUGCAGAUCUCAUCGAACAGCUCAUCUCAAAUAAGUGAGAUAAAAUAUGGCGGCAAAACGCCCUACAGUGUCUCAUUUGUAGGUUCCUUGUUUGGCCCAAAAUCUUUUGAAAUUUUUUUUUCCUACUCCCCUGUUGCUCACAGGGCACCUAGCCCCCUUGUGAUGUUUGUCUGUUAGUUUAUUUCUAUUUUUCUUUGUUUCUUUUAUAUUGACUCAUGUGUCACUUUUGUUGGUUAGGCUUGUCAUCAAAGUUAAUCUAGUUUAAGUUAUGUUCGUAUGCCUCUUUGCUCUGUUUGUUUUAUUAUAUAUAUAUUCCAUAAUAAAUGAGCGCCCAUCCAUAUAGACCGUUUGAAAAUAUUAGUGGGAGAAAUACUAGAUUUGAACAGGCCUGGAUUCCGAUUGAAGACGUUGUUGGGCUGGAUCUGGUUUUGUUAAAACAUUGUUGAUACAAAAAUUUGUGUUUUGUUUUUUUCCUCUCUUUUUCUGGCCGGUGAAGGGGUGGUGAACUAGCCUCUGCAGCCGGUUGGUUUGGGUUUUGAUUUUGAGGUGAUGCCAAAGGACCAAGGCUGUUCUUGGUCUUUUAUACUUGUGUAUCCCUGGACAACGGCCAGAAAAGCCUGGGAACUUGGUAGGUAUCCCUUCAACCAUUAAAGCCGGCAUCGCUGUUGAUGACUCUGAAAUUGCUGAUCCACAAAUCGAAACCCACUCAUCAAUACCAAAAAGUGCAUCAAAAUCUGUGUUUUCCCGCCCAUAUACACCUUCAAAUAAAAAUGGGAGGCUUUCCAACCCAUAUACACCAAUAAACAACGAAAAGGAACUAGAAUUUCAUGUAUUUCCGAGGAUAGGAUAAUAUCCUCUCAAGUCAAAAGUAAUAUAAAUUCAUAGUAAUAUGAAAAAAUGAGUUUCAUUCCAGUUAUACUUUUAAAUCAACACAUGAAAACACACUUCUGAAAUAAAAAAAACCUUCGGAGAAAUAUGCCAGGAUAGCCUAUAAUUCACCUUGUUAAAAUUGAAGCUGUUGUUUCUCCUUAGAACUCUUUUGUACUAAGAGUAGUGUCUGUUCUAAAUAAUGUUUAUCAUUAGUGGCCCCUCCCCUCAGCUUGUCGUAGUGCUAUGCGGAAGAAGCCUCUCUUUUUAUUACCUUCGGCUGGAGCGCAUUAUAGGAACAUGCUGCAUUGUGGACUUUUACAAUUUUUUUCUUUGGGCCUACACAAAUUACCCUUUCAAGGGAUGCAUCAUCACGGCACUCAAAUAAGAUAGCCAGUAGCGACCAUAACUGGUAGGGUAAUGGGUAUUCAAGAGAUGGCUGUACCCUAUAUAUAGAUAAAGCCCCCCUUUACCAAAAAUUGCUUUAUCUAAUCGCCAAGUCCAAUAGAGCAUAUGAGCCAACCCACAAUCACAUGCAUACAAGAAACAAAAAAGGUGGAAAAGGAGAGAGAUAAGGACAAGAUUGGUGAGACAUUUUUACCACAAGUAUCGCAUUCUUAAUGCUUGUAAAUUUGGCUAUAGGCCUAUAGCACAAAGUAGUCUCUCUUUUCUACUUUAUAUCAAAUAUUAACUCACACUUGAAGGGUACUUCAAUACUAAAAACACUAAAACGUUGAAAUUUUAACUUCCAAAUCACCAAUAAUCUCCUCACAAGAUUUGUAUGUGGUGGGAGUGUCUUAAAUAAUUCAAUGCUCACAAGAGAUGGAGAUUUACUAAGUUAACUUUAGACAAGAAUAUGUGACUGAUUUUCAACGACUUAACACCUAGUAUUCACGGAUGCGCGUAACAUGCACCUGGGACGGAAUCUUUUUUUCCCCAAAAUGGAGGCACAGAUCCACGCGCUGCCCAUAACAAUUGCAACUUGCAAUUAAUUAGCAAGAAAUACAGGGAAAUUUGCCAGUUUUUAAGGGUUGGUGUUCUGGAGAAACAUAUUGGUUUAUGUUCAUUUGAAAGACCCCAGUAUUCAUUCCCCCAUUUGUACAACCACGAAAAAGAAAAAGAAAAAAAGGAGGGGGGGGAAGCACCAUUACAUCUCCUGCACUCAAUUUCUCUACAAUAUAUAUAGAAGAAAAUACAACUGCCCACGCUUCACAAAAGGAAAAAAAACUAAAAAAAUCUAUAGAUUUAUUCUAUCGUCACAAUGCCACAGCUCAUUUGACAUACUAACUAUACUACAUAACCAUAUUUACCACGAACAAUGAAAAAUGAACAUGAACGAAGAUGGGAACCUGCAAAGAACAAUUGAAUCCUCCAGUAAGCAACACCACAACCCCAACAAAGCUACAGCAACCAAAAGGCCGGUAGACCCAGAAACACAACUAAAUAUAGAGAUUCCACUGCAUUGAGAGAACCUAGUGAGGUAGCUGGCAGAGAGGCAGAGGGAGAGAUUGCAAAAUCAGGGCCAAGUGCGACGACAUCAUCAGGAUUUGGUGGGCUUGGGUUGGAAGGAAUGGUGGGCAUGGAGGACCCAGUUGGAACAGGAAGCACACCACCAGGGGAAGGAAAAAGAGGAGAAAUGUCUGGUGACAAUGGUGGGAGAGGAGAUAGAGCUGGAUUUAGCAAGACUGCUGGAGAUGUUGAGAUAGUAGAGGUCUGCAAAUGUAGUUGCUCAGGGGAUAAAGAUAGUAAAGGUGAGAGCAUGAAAGGCAUGAUGAGUACUAAGAGAAGCCAAAAGGAGGCCAUUCUAAUGAUAAUGAAAUCAAUCUCCACUUCUUGGAGACUGUAAUUAAUGUGAAGUCCCAAGAGAGAGGAAGGGGGUGCGGGUGACACUGUUUGUGGGCUUUUCUGGUGGAAAUUAUGAUUAAAAUUUGAAACCAUUAAAAGGUAUAAACACAGCUUCUAGGUGGGGUGUGGGUGCCAGGUGGCUGGAUAUGAGUGGAUUGUGAUGAGAAGAUACAGGUUGGCAUGUGUGAGAAAACAGACAAAGAUUGUUAGGCGUAUGUUUUGAUUUGAUGCGUUUGUUAGUAGGGGAUUCCUUUCUGCACGUGAUGCACUUAUUUCCCCUUUCUAAUAAAUGUCUGAGUUUAGCAUAUUUCCUAAGUUUUAAACUAAGCUUAUACUUAUAUCAUUGAGGUAUUAAAGUUUUGUUUAAUUGUGCAAGAGAAAUUAUUAGCAAAGGAAAAUGAACAAAUUCAAGGAAAGAGAAACAAAACAAAUUUCAGGCCAUUGACUUCUGCCUCAAUCUUUCUCCUUUUCCUAGGCAAAAAUGAUGAAAAUUGCAGACAUAUAUAAAUUUUCACUAAAUUUUGAUUACCUUUUCUUCCUACUUUGUAUAUCAUAAUUAUUAUUAAAAGAAUAAAAAAAAAAGGUUCUUUUUCUUAAUUCUAUUUAGAAUCAUUUUAUGCCAAAGAAAGGGGACUAACCAGUGUCCAUUGAAUGAAAAUUAAGGUACGGCCGGGGAAUGAGACACAAGGAAAAGAGGACGGAUGGCCCCCGACAAUCAAGCAUCCACUGGACAUAACUAGCUAAUUGUCAAAAAGUCAAUACCACCCUUUGUACAAGGGCUUCUUGAGCGACAAAUUGAGGGGGCAAAAAUGUCAAAAUGUUGAGGCAAACGGCAAAGCGGAGCGCUAGCUAGCGACAAAUGACACCCCGCAAAUCACGGGGUCCACCGAAAUGACGACCCAUCAAUCGACCACAAAGGAUGUUCCAGUCAAGUGAAAAUCAAAAAUCAAAUCUAAUUUGGAUACAGUUGUCAAAUGGGCCACAUACAAUUAUGAUAUAAGGAGACUUGAGGAAAAAAUUUUAGAUUGAGGCUAUUUAUGGCUACAGUUUUAUCACCCCCAGCACUCUGCGAAUCCUAUGGCCAGCAGCAAACUUCGUGACAUUGUCUCUGCUAUCGAUGGUUGGGCAUGUUUGUAGUUUCAAGCAAAAUCCUUUCUCGUAUUAUAGGAAGUCAAAGAUAUUCUGAAGUCCUUCCCUGAACGCUCAUUCCUGACCCCCUACCUAGAAAUACUAUAUUGAUAAUCAAACACAUCAAAUUUUGGAAGAGAGUUUUGGACGAUAAUGUAGUUGCAUCAAAAGGAACCUAACUUCCUCACAAGUGAAGGCAUUUCUAGGAUUGUUUACCAACUCUUUUAAGUGAACCUAAACGAGAAAAUGUAUUAACUCAGAGCCACGAGCAGAGAGGGUUAACCUCUUCCUGGGCAUCAUGGAAGGUAGAAGGCAGUGAUGGAGGAAAAACAUACUGAAAUGGCCGAACCCUCUCCAUGCCCAUCCACGCCAUAAGCCUAGGAUGGACGGUAAAUGACAAGGAAUCUUGCCAACAAUUGUAUUGAGUGGCGACAACAUCAACCAUUAUAUUUCACUCCCCGGCCUCAUCCAGUUCCUUGCGUUCUCACGGAUAUCUCUAAAAGGGUUAGAUAUAUUAGUCCAGGGUCUUUGUGCUUUCACUCUCAAAGUUUACAUGGGACAAAUUUGUGAUUUUGAAAGAUGUCACUUGUUCUAGGGUAGUCUUCACUCAGAUCUAGAUACAGAGGGCAUGUUGGAGAGUAAAUUCUGCCAAUUUGUGAUUUUGAAAGAUGUCACUUGCUCUAGUGUAAAUAAAGUUCAUAGAACUGCUCAUGGGCAUCUUGGCUUGACCCAAAAGCUCUUUCACCAACUGAGCAAAGGAACAAAUUCUGGCCGUGUCCCCCACUUCCAAACCCUAAUUUAAAUAAGGUUAAUUUCACUCAUCUUCCCUCAGGUUUUGGAUAAAUGUACGUGACCCCUUGUUGAUUUGAAAUUUCAUCAAAUGUUUCCCUUAUUUUGAGUAGGAGGGAGGUGAGUGAAAAUAACAAAUACUUCCCCUAUCCUUUUCAUUUAUUAUUUUCACUUACCUCCCCUCUCAAUCAAAAUGAAGUAAUUGAUGAAAUUUCAAAUCAAUGUAUUUAACCAAAAUCAAGAAGGUGAAUAAAAUUAACCCUUUAAAUAAUAUGUACAUUGAAGAAGGGAGGUUAUUGAAUUAAUAUGUAAAUCAAUGAAUGAAGGUAAAAUGUUGUAAAAACAAAAUAUUUAUUAUCUGCAAUAACGGAGCUGCAUUUAGUGACUUCUACGAUGUGGAAAUUAGUCUGUUGCUCAUACCACCAUACAUAAGAAAAAAUAAAUAAUAAAAAUUGCACAGGGGCUUUUAUAUAAAUGACAUUAAUUCUCAAGAAAAAAAUAUACUGAACUGAAUAUGUCAAUGAUGUUACAUACAUGGAUUAUACAACGACAGGCCAAUCAUAUCUGGACCAAAUUGUGAUAAUUGAGUUGGAAAAAGAAAAAAUAGAACUCACCUCAAUAUAAGGACUGUUGAACCCGUGUCUGGAAUGCAGAAAAAUGGUCUUUCAUGACUUUUUGAAACUCAAUUAACCUUCGAAGUCCCUGCAAAUAAAUGUAGAUCACAACUCAGAAAUUAUGGACCCUUUUGAAACAAAAGGCAAGGAACAACAAAACAAUAGGCAACCUCCAGGACUUCAAUUGCACCGGGGAAGCCGCUGCAACUCCUUGGCCACAAGCAAAGCAGCAUCAGCUACGCCUGGGAUGCUUGAGUUUUUAAGCUCAGAAACAAUGGUUUCAAGUCUUGAAAUCUCUGGGAUAGAUAUUGAUAAUAUCAUUGCAUGUGACAAAUAUUGCCUACAGGAGUACCCAAGAGCAUGCAGCAUCCGCAGCACCAGUAAGUGAGAGACAGCCCUUCGCCAGGACUCAAGAAGUGCACUAACCUUUGAGAGAUUAGUUAGAAAACCAGUAGUGGCUUCCCUGGGAGCAGCCUUGAGCAACAAAACCACACAUUCAGAAGCUAUAUCUGCAACAUUGGCUUCAUCUGAGCCACUUAAUUCCAGAAAAACACUAACGUUGCUACCAAAGUCCAUUAUAUCCCUUAUGUAUUGCUGCUGAUCAACUGCACCUCUCACUUCAGUAGGACCAUCACAUAUGAGAGUUGGUUCUUUUGAAUAGAUGAAGCCUUUUCUACUGCCUACUGAACGUAGAAGAAAAGCCCUACACAGGCCAAGAGUAGGUUCAAGAAAAUCUUCCAUAUCUUUUGCAUUGACAAACUCAAGAAGGUUUCCAAUCUUCCUGACUACUUUUAAUUGAGAGAGCAACUUGGUUUCCAUUUCAGGAGCAGAUGCCAGAGCCAGACACAGCUUAACGCUGUUUACAUUUGCACUUGAAAGAUCACCAAGCAAAAAUUCAAAGCACUGGGAGACUGUCUCCAUAUGUAGAAUGUCUGGAAUUCUAAUGUAAUUAAACUCGAUAAACAUCACAAGAAGCUUCUGCGCAUACAUGGGAAUGGGAUCUUCAUCCUCAAUGAGAGUGGGGUAAAGGGGCAGGAAGUGAGUAUUGGAUAUGGACUUCAAGUCCUCUGAUCUUUGCUCAACUUCUGAUGGUUCAUUUAAGUAUAUGACCAUUGCAUCAAAUAGAAUUUUCAGGCACAAAAAUCUGGCAUCUCCAUCUUUGUUCCCCCUGUACAGAACAGCCAAACUUGGGAGAAUUUCACCAAUGAAAACAUUAGCGCUUUCAAGAAUUACAGAGGGCUCCUCUGUUAUAGACUCAAGCACUCGCAGAAGAGUUAUUUGGAAGUCAUCCCUACCCUGAAAUUAAAUGAAAGAGGUAAUAUAUGUCAACUGGCUAAUAUCUUUUAAUUUUUCAUGUCAGUUAGGACUGUGCCCAAUUUGUUCACACCCUAAUGGGUAGAAGCAACAAUCUGACCAAGACAACUACAGUAACACAAAGACCACCCUACCUUACUAACCCACCCACCCCCAAACCCACACACAAGUAAAACUAGGAAUCUAUUCCAAAAUCAUUUAUAGCCAUUUGAUCGAUGACCGAUUUCACAAAGCACGGGUACAUCAUGCAACCACUUGCCUAAGCAAUUUUCCAAGACCUUCAGGCCCCAAAGUUAGUUGGACAUAAUUCCAUGUUUCCUAAUAUUAGUAGUAAUGCAGUACUAUAUAUAUAUAUAUAUAUAUAUAUAUAUAUAUAUAUAUUAGCUAUCCACAUUAAACAUCAUAUCCUAUUUAGUUUGGGACAACCAGUAAAGAAAAAUGAAAGUUCAAGCUAAAAAAGCAUGGAAUGGAAAUGAAUAUCCAAAUGCAGGCUCAGUUGCAGCUACUUUACCUGAAAUGGUGACUCUGCAAGUUUGAUUAGAUUUGCCAAUUGCUGCAGCACUUGAUGAUUCACAACCCUGUGCUUAAAUGAUGAGCUCCCAAGAAGAUGAAGAACAACAGGAAACAAAUGAACUUUAAUUUUUGGGGCAGCCCGAUUGGUAAGGCCAGCAAUUUGGCCAUGCCGCCUUCCUCCCAUCAUUUGCUGAAUAUCUCCAGUUAUAGUCUCCAGCAAACCUGGAAUAGUAGAUGACACAACAUGCAAAAAUGCAUCUAAACACUGCUGGACAUAGCUAUCCUUCUCUUUUACCAGCCUGUCCACUGCUGAGAGGAACCUAGCAUUGCAAAAAAAAUGAGGCAGCCAUCUCUUACCAUUCUUACAAAGGAGGGCUACAAAAACAAGUGUCUUUCCUCUCAAAACCUCACUUCCCUGCUCGAUAAGAGACACGAGACUAGGAACCAGAUUCUUAUCCUCCACCAAGGGCAGAAGGUGCCGGCCAAUGUUUGUGAACAUAUGGCUUCCAAGCAUGGCCAUGUUUAGAAGGUUUAAGCUGAUUUGCUGCUCACGUGGACUGCCUUUGACAAGGGCAGUUACAGUGUCCCUGAAUGAAAGCUUGUCUAUGACUGAUUGAAUACUAGGAGGAUGAAAACGAACCAGUCGUACUAGACACGAUCCUGCUGUGAGUCUCAUGCUCUCUUGUUUCCCUGCAGCCCUAAAUAUAUAGCACAGGUUAUUAAUUACAUCCUGGCUGGUGAAACGAGCUGCCCAGUUCCCUCCCUGACUGCAUAUGUUUUCUAUUGUUCUCAGUGCAUACUGUUGAGUUACAUCAUCCUCUCCUUUCCGUAAAAUUGAUGACACCAAUGAUAUUAACGCAUUUGAAACCUGCUCAAAAAAGAAAAGCUAAACUUUCAUCUAGGAAAAAAUGGAAGGAGACAAACAAGGGCAGGGAAGAAUAUGGAAAGGACUAGAAACAUCCUCUAAUAAUGGUUCUAUAAGAAAAUCAUCUUUGAGACAUGAAUGGAAGUGUCUAAGAAGAAUCCCCAAAAAUAAAAAAUAAGCUACUAAUAAGAAGGGCUUUGGCAAUAAAAUAAAAGCUAACCUGCCAACCAGAUGAGGACCGGCUAUCCUUUGAUGGGGAUUCUGGUGGAUUGUUAUCUUUAGCAUGUUCAUUCUGAGUGGAUAUAUAAAAUAGCAACUCACCCAAUGCAGCCAUAGAAAACCUCCUUACUUUUUCCUGCCUAUCUCUAAGACCGUCAGUAAGAGAACCUAAAAUUCCAGAACUUGCCAAAUCAUCAUCAAUGAAAGUAGAAUGCCGAAUUAACAAACCAAUCAGUGAAGCAAGCUGAACACGCAAAGCAGAUGCCUUGGACUGUCGGAGCAUUUUGACAAUAACCAUCAUGAUUGGCCCAUUGGUUAAGAUAUUCGCAGCAUCAGCAUUAUUGCUCAACAUUUCAAGGUAUUUGAUCACAUUCUGCUUCUCUGCAAUGGUAGUGUUACCAUUAAAGAUGGUUAUAAUCCUAUUGUUGAGUGAAUCAAGCUGCUCCUUGGACAUCUUGAUGAAAUCAGAUGCUGCCAGUGCAUCAAAGGGAAGAGAAGGAAGUGUCUCUGGCAAUUUAUCAGCUUUUCUACUGGGCAUUACGGGUCUAACUGAGAGAUCGGAAGGAUGCCAAAGCACGUGCGAAAUGUUACCAGAUGAUUUUGAAGAAUCAAAAUCAACAGCAGAACCUGAACCUUCUUUAACCCUCUGGAUUCUAACCUGAGGACUAACACUGGGCGGGGUAGCAGCCACUUCAACAUGGUCUGAUUCAUGAUCAAAUGUUCUCGAGUCAUCUGAGACAGGUAUGCUGACAACAUGUGCAGUAUCUAGUUGGUUUGUGUUAUCUUCCAUCUCUUCCACUUUCCCCUGAUGCUGAGUUUGACUUGACAAUUUGUCUUCAGGAGUAAAGUUUGAAGUAUCAGACCCAUCAGGUUCAUCAUGUGGCUCAUCUUCAGUGUUUUCAUUAAAAUCAAGUUCCAUAUCUGUGUUCUCAAUUUUAACCUCAGAAUCAUUUUCAGAGUUAUUUGGCAAGGGCCUUCGGUAGUUUUCCUUCUCAUUCUCUCUCUGUAAGUUUGAUUUUGCAAUUCUUGAGAGCCUUAAAAGAUUCACACCCCCGGUAGCACUUGAAGGAUCUUUCUGCUUCUCAUCAGCUACUCUUCCAGAAGCCUUUGUUUGAGCUCUGCGUCCACCUGUUAUACCUUUAACUGGUGUUUCAUAACCUUUUAAUCCCAAAAUAGAAUUCUCAUCUUGUUUGGGAGUCCCUUUUGAAUCUCUGUCACGAUAUUUAGGAGGGGUCUUAUUUUGGAGAGGCUUGUCACCAUUCCGUUCGGAUAGACACAGUUUAGAAUAAAGGUCUAUCAAAUUAUCAAAAGCAGGCUGAGGAGGUAGAGGCACUGAUGUGAAUUUUGUUCUCCAGAAAGCAUGCCCACAAAGUUCAGGCCACUGUAUUCUUUCAGCUGGAUCUUUUACCAGGAGAGAAUUGAUUAGAUUAACAAAGGGACGGCUCGGCGUACCAGGCAGGGUUGGAGUGGGAUCUGAGAGGAUGGAUUUUACUAACUGAGUAAAUUCUCUUCCCACAAAGGGGGGUCUUCCAGCAUAGCACUCAUAUAGUACACAACCAAGGGCCCAGAAAUCGGAAGCAUAAGAAUGCACGCCUCCAUCCUGAAACAGCUCUGGAGCCAUAUAACAUGGUGUUCCACGUUUUGCUUGUGGCAACUAGACAAGUCCAUAAGAAGGAAAUUACAUAAACAAACUCUUAGUUAAAAAUUUAAAAAAAAAAAUAUUGCAUUUUCAAAUUGAAUACCCAUAUACUCCCAAGUAAAUGAAGCACAUGUGGGAAAUGUUGCAAUAAAUAGAAACGCACCAUGGAAGAAGGUGUUUUUGAUAUAUCACUCAAUUUUCUUGCUAAUCCAAAAUCACAUAGCUGAAUUGCACAAAGAUAAAAGGGAAAUUAGUUUAUAUAUAAUAGACAUUGUAUUGGCAAUGACCAAACAAAACAAGGAAGAAAUAGCACAUAGCUACCUUUGUGCACCCAUUCUCAUCCAAUAGGAUAUUUGAUGGUUUUAAGUCACAGUAUAUGAUUCCCUUAGAAUGUAAAAACCUGACAAACAAUUGCCAGAGAAUAACUCAGAAAAAAUAACAAAAUAUAGCAAAUCCACAAAGGAAAUAAUAAAUCAAUACUAAUGAGUAUUCUUACUGCAAAGCUCUGACAAGGUCACGGGCAAGAUCAUGUACUGAAUCUUCAGGAAGCUGACUAUCCUGGAACUCAUUAACUAGAAGAUUAAUAUUCCAAUUGUAUAUAGAUAGCUAAGGAAUACACUAAUAUUCAGAUUGAUGACAUAUGUCAGAAAUUCUGAGAUUCGUUUCUUAUACAAUACACAGAGCAAAGACCAGUACUUCCACUGUAUAAGUAGUUCUUUUCCAUAUUUUGUUAUCAAAUAUUUACCAAACAGGAUCUACAGAAUUAUUCAAGUUAAAUUCCAGAAAAUUAUAAUGAUAGAUAGAGACCUGUGAAAAUACUGUUGUAAAUCAUUUUCAAUUUCAAAGCCCAAAGAUCUUUUCCAGAAUUUUCAAGGGAAAUUCUUUUUUACAAGAGUCGACUAUUUUAGGUUUUCUCUGAAAACAAUGGUAAAAGUUGAUUGCUAUGUCUAUGAUGGGAACAGUACUCAGGCUAAAGCCCCAACUGCAAUCAUAUAAAACAUUUUUCGGUGAGCAAUCAUACAGAAUAUUUAAAAAUCAUAUCCAACAUGGUAAACAUAGGAAGGCCAUAAACUGAUCAAAUGCAACUAGCCCUUGUUUUCACGAUUUCGCAAUGUAAUGUCCAUACUGUUUAAAAAGGAUGCUCCUACUUGAUAAGAACACCUAUAUUCAUCCACAUGUUGCAUUUAGUUUACUGGGGUUGCUAUGUUGAACAACUCACAUAUGUAUUGGAUGCCUAAUCUAAUGCCUCCGUCCUUUCAUCGUAGUGCCUAUCUAAUCAACUUCAACCACAGAUUAUCCAUAAUAUUUAGUGUAUCAACAAAAUCCCACAAUUCUUCCUGCUUAUAACAAUUAUUGGAGGAAAAAAUUAAUUAUUAAAUCCAAAAUUUAUAUGAAUAUUAAGUAACCAUCACCUGCUGUAAUAAGGUCAUAAGAUCUCCUCCGACACAAUAUUCCAAAACUAACCACAAGUGAGCAGAAGUUUCAUACCUAAUGUGCAAAAAAUAUGAGAAAAUGUUACUCAACUGAAAUUCCAAGAGAGAAAAGAAAUGGCACUCCAGAAGUACCACAUAGUAGAUUAUUCCACAGGCAAAUGCAGUUCAAGUAAUCAUCUAACUAAAUGACUACUUCCAAACCACUCUAACAAGCAUUGCAUGAUAUUGUGUUCCCAAAUAUCUGAAAGCCUUACCAAGAAAAAAAAUUUAGUACAUUCGAGUGAUCUAGAGAGUGAAGAAUCCUAACCUGCAUUCGAAAAAACAAAGGGCACAUCAGCUAAAGCACACGCAAGAUAGAAUUCAAGAAUACUACCCAUCAUGACUGCAUAAAUUUGUGAUUUCAGAUCACCUUAGAAGCUGCAGUUCUUUUCACAACAAAUAAUUCUCUUCAUUCCUACUCGUUUACUUGGCCAGUUAAGCAAAGAGAAUGCAAAACAAGGAUAGCACAAAGGAAAACUGAGUACUUGUCUAAGCCCGAUUCUCAGGAGAGUGCAUGGCACUGUGGUAGAUCUUGCUCCACCAAUACAAGUAGCUUCACUAAACAUCCUAGGGAAAACUAUAGCAAAUCUUGCAAUUAUAGUUCCUAUGUGAAUAGUUUCACAGAACCACUACAACAGCCUGAGGGAUCAGUGUGAGACCUUCUAAUCAAUCACCAUGACCAGUAUAAAACAGCACCAUAAUUUGAGCUAUGUUUAGAGUGCUCUGUUUGGCUGGAAAAAAAUAAAUACGUACAUUCUAAUGAUAAAAAGGAGCAAAAUAGAAGAAGACAAAACUAUUUAAUUUUCAGAUUUUCCAAAAAUUGGGAUCCAAACAAAACUAAAUUCCACGAGAAAUGUCAGAAUACAAUUAUCAUACUUGGGGAAAAAUUUUCUUUUUAUGAAAAUCAUGACAACAUAAAAAUAAAAAUAAACUGGAAGCAAAACAGACCAACAGAUCCAAGGUUUCUUUUAUUUCCUUUUCCUCAGUUUUCUGGGCAACCAAAUAAAGGGAAAGUGCCAAGCAACUUUAAAAUUAUAAAAGCAUUCACUGACUCUGUUACUAAUUUUAUUUCCCGUUUCUGCAAUUGGUUCAAUCUAAUAUCCAGAUACCAAUCAUUUCAACAAAAACAGCUCAAACUUCAAACUGUUCCGAACUAGCUCAAUGUUUAGAUUCCCAUCCAUGAAACGCAGAUCAACACAUACGAUCAACAAUUAACCUACAACUUCUUCAAUAAACGCAAAAAAAAAAAAAAAAAAAAAAUUAACCAAUCAACCAGAGAUAAUAAAAUGGGAACUU
rnacentral:lncRNA from 1 species